UACGUAGGGGGCAAGCGUUGUCCGGAAUUACUGGGCGUAAAGGGCUCGUAGGUGGCCAACUAAGUCAUACGUGAAAUCCCUCGGCUUAACCGGGGAACUGCGUCUGAUACUGGAUGGCUUGAGGUUGGGAGAGGGAUGCGGAAUUCCAGGUGUAGCGGUGAAAUGCGUAGAUAUCUGGAGGAACACCGGUGGCGAAGGCGGCAUCCUGGACCAAUUCUGACACUGAGGAGCGAAAGCCAGGGGAGCAAACGGG
rnacentral:rRNA from 1 species